rnacentral:misc_RNA from 1 species
GUUUCCGUAGGUGAACCUGCGGAAGGAUCAUUACUGAGUUUCGAAUGAAGUUGUUCUGGUCUUUCGGGGCAAGUGAACGCUUCUCUCAAUCCAUCUUACACCUGUGCACCUAUCGGGGAAGACUUGGAUCUAAGUUGGGUCACGACGGCGAUCUACAGUCUCCUCUUUAUACCAAAUAACAGUUUUAGAAAGUCUUUUUUGCUUGAUGCAAGCUUAAAUAAAUACAACUUUCAGCAACGGAUCUCUUGGCUCUC